rnacentral:tRNA from 1 species
GCCUUCGUGGUGUAGUGGUCAGCACGCUCGACGCGUAACCGAGAGUUCCGUGGUUCGAUUCCCGGAGAAGGCG